AGGGUCACAAGCCAUCUUGGUUUGCCAGGGACUGAGGGGUUUCCCAAGACACGGGACAUUCAGUACUAAAACUGG
rnacentral:miRNA from 1 species